GCGCCCGUAGUUCAAUGGAUAGAGCACUAGGCUUCGGACCUAGGUGUUGCACGUUCGAGUCGUGCCGGGCGCG
rnacentral:tRNA from 1 species